UACGUAGGGUGCGAGCGUUAAUCGGAAUUACUGGGCGUAAAGCGUGCGCAGGCGGUUUUGUAAGUCAGAUGUGAAAUCCCCGGGCUUAACCUGGGAACUGCGUUUGAAACUACAAGGCUAGAGUGUGGCAGAGGGGGGUGGAAUUCCACGUGUAGCAGUGAAAUGCGUAGAGAUGUGGAGGAAUACCGAUGGCGAAGGCAGCCCCCUGGGUUAACACUGACGCUCAGGCACGAAAGCGUGGGGAGCAAACGGG
rnacentral:rRNA from 1 species